CACAUUAUUGUGCUGAUGAUAUUUGCCCCUACACUUGUAUAGCUUAGAUCUCGAAUUUUCAUGUCAUCUUUGCAAGAUGGAUUUUCAUUUAGGAUCUCAAGUUGUAUCUGUAGUAGUGUAGUUGGCAGUGACAAGUUAUACUUCGGCUUCACAUUGAGCAGAUGAUCGUAGAGUUAAAGAUAAAUCUGGGAGAUGGUAGUUAAACUAGUAAAUACUGCUGCCAUGUGUUUUUGCUUCCUAAUCUAUUUGGGAGAGAAAUGCAACAUCAGUGCCUUACCUUAUUUGAAUCACAUGAUUAAUUUGAAUAAGCUACCAACCAAUGUGGUUAAAGUUGAUAUGCCAACUACGAGACAGUCUUUGUCUGCUGGAUGUUUGGCCAUGAAUUGGCAUGCCACUAAUCUAAGCAAAACUGAUCUUUCUUUUGCAGAUGUGUGCAGAAAGAUACACAGCAACUGAAGAUUUACUGAAGCUUUCUGGUCGUCUUCGGCUGAUAAUGGCACAGGUUGACAAGGAUGUGAAAGAUGUAUCGGCGAAGGCCGCAGUCCAAUCUGAUGAAGAGGAAGAAGAUGAAAUUGAUGAAAUGGUGUAUGGUGAAGACGUGGAUUUGUCUGAAAACAGUGACGAUGAUGCUGAGUAGAAUCGCAGCAUUGUUGGCAUGUCUCCGAGAGACUUUUCGACUUUGUGUACGGUCAAGAUGUAUUUUUCAAGCUUAGAGCCCAUAGUCAAGUUUGUAAAACGCGCAACGACGGAAGGUUACACUAAUUUUGACAACAGGAGGUAAUAUCUGAAAGGCAUUUUUGUA